rnacentral:tRNA from 1 species
UGGGGUGUCGCCAAGCGGUAAGGCACCGGACUCUGACUCCGGUAUCCCAGGUUCGAAUCCUGGCACCCCAG